rnacentral:rRNA from 1 species
AUUGAACGCUGGCGGCAUGCCUUACACAUGCAAGUCGAACGGUAACAGGUCUUCGGAUGCUGACGAGUGGCGAACGGGUGAGUAAUACAUCGGAACGUGCCCGAUCGUGGGGGAUAACGAAGCGAAAGCUUUGCUAAUACCGCAUACGAUCUACGGAUGAAAGCAGGGGACCGCAAGGCCUUGCGCGAACGGAGCGGCCGAUGGCAGAUUAGGUAGUUGGUGGGAUAAAAGCUUACCAAGCCGACGACCUGUAGCUGGUCUGAGAGGACGACCAGCCACACUGGGACGGAGACACGGCCCAGACUCCUACGGGAGGCAGCAGUGGGGAAUUUUGGACAAUGGGCGAAAGCCUGAUCCAGCCAUGCCGCGUGCAGGAUGAAGGCCUUCGGGUUGUAAACUGCUUUUGUACGGAACGAAAAGACUCUGGUUAAUACCUGGGGUCCAUGACGGUACCGUAAGAAUAAGCACCGGCUAACUACGUGCCAGCAGCCGCCGUAA